UACGAAGGGGGCUAGCGUUGCUCGGAAUCACUGGGCGUAAAGGGCGCGUAGGCGGCGAACCAAGUCAGAUGUGAAAGUCCUGGGCUUAACCUGGGGACUGCAUUUGAUGCUGGUUUGCUUGAAUUCGGGAGAGGAUAGCGGAAUUCCCAGUGUAGAGGUGAAAUUCGUAGAUAUUGGGAAGAACACCGGUGGCGAAGGCGGCUAUCUGGACCGACACUGACGCUGAGGCACGAAAGCGUGGGGAGCAAACAGG
rnacentral:rRNA from 1 species